rnacentral:rRNA from 1 species
UUUUGUAAGUCUCUUGUGAAAUCUGAUAUCUCAAAUAUCAGGCGUGCAAGAAAUACUGCAUUACUAGAGACUGGAAGGCGUAAGGAGUAUGAUAAAGGUAGUAGUAAAAUACGUUAAUCUUAAUCAGACUAACAAUGGCGAAGGCACCUUACGAGUACAGAUCUGACAGUGAGGGAUGAAGGCCAGGGGCGCGAAAGGGAUUAGAUACCCCUGUAGUUCUGGCAGUAAACACUGCUCACUAAACAUUAGUGCCUCCUCGAGAGGCAUUAGUGCUGCAGCGAAGGCGAAGAGUGAGCUACCUGGGAAGUAUAGUCGCAAGGCCGAAACUUAAAGGAAUUGGCGGGGAGGCACUACAACGGGUGACGCGUGCGGUUCAAUUAGAUUCUACACCGUGAACCUCACCAGGAGCGACAGCAGAAUGAAGGUCAGUCUAAAGGGCUUACCUGACACGCUGAGAGGAGUUGCAUGGCCGACAUAAGCCUGUGUUGUGAGAUGACUUGUUAAAUCAAGUAACAGGCGAGACCCCUGUGUUUAAUU